UCUUUCUUUCUUCUUUCUCUUUCUUUUCUUUUCCAUUCUCUCUUUCUUCUUUCUCUUCAAGCGCAUCAACGAUGGAGUGUAAUUUUUUUCUUGUGUUGAGCAGGGCCUCUCGUGGUGGGUAAAAAAAAGACCAAGAAUCAUCGGCAUAAAUAGAAGAGAGAGGAUAAUGCCAAU
rnacentral:ribozyme from 13 species